rnacentral:lncRNA from 1 species
UAAGGACUGGUUUUCUGGGACAGCAGCUGUACUGGAUUUCUACUGUAAGGUUUUAGCAGCGAGAGAAGGGCUUUUGGGGGUUCUGAACAGAAACUGCCCCAUGUCUGAUCAGAGCCAGCUCCAAGCAGAUCUAAACAGGACCUGCCACUGGCCAAAACUGAGCCAGUGGGAGAUGCUCAUUGCAUCUCUGAGAACCAGUUAAUAAGGGAAAAACUGCUGUUCCUCAGCAGAUGAGAGAAAGGAGUGAAAAAUGUGAAAGAACAACCCUGCAGCCACCAAGGUCAGUGCAGAAGGAGGGCAGCAGGUGCUACAGGCAUAGAGCAGAAGCUCC